UGAAUCGGCCGGGAAUCGAACCCGGGCCGCCCGCGUGGCAGGCGUGCAUACUACCACUGACCCACCGAUGC
rnacentral:tRNA from 1 species